rnacentral:rRNA from 1 species
UGGGGAAUUUUGGACAAUGGGCGAAAGCCUGAUCCAGCCAUGCCGCGUGAUUGAAGAAGGCCUUCGGGUUGUAAAGCUCUUUUAGUCGGAAAGAAAGAGUUGCAAUGAAUAAUUGUGAUUUAUGACGGUACCUACAGAAAAAGCACCGGCUAACUACGUGCCAGCAGCCGCGGUAAUACGUAGGGUGCGAGCGUUAAUCGGAAUUACUGGGCGUAAAGGGUGCGCAGGCGGUCUUGCAAGUCAGAUGUGAAAGCCCCGGGCUUAACCUGGGAAGUGCGUUUGAAACUACAAGACUAGAGUGCAGCAGAGGGGAGUGGAAUUCCAUGUGUAGCAGUGAAAUGCGUAGAGAUGUGGAAGAACACCGAUGGCGAAGGCAGCUCCCUGGGUUGACACUGACGCUCAUGCACGAAAGCGUGGGGAGCAAACA